ensembl:misc_RNA Metazoa_SRP Metazoan signal recognition particle RNA
GCCGGGCAUGGUGGCUCAUGCCUGUAAUCCCAGCACUUUGGGAGGCUGAGGUGGGUGGAUCACCUGAGGUCAGGAGUUGGAGACCAGUCUGACCAACAUGGUGAAACCCCGUCUCUA